UGCACUUACAGACACACUGACAAAUGAGAAACUCGAGGGUUAGAAGUGAGGUCAGGCCGGUCACAGGUGAGGAAAGGGGGUUGAAGGGGAGGUUUGAAAGUGGAGUCUGAGGUGGUGUGAACUAAAUUGAAAUAUUUUAAACACCAUUUUUUUAUUGUUUUUUUUUUUACCAUCCAGCCCACCCUUGCCAAAUUUCCUUUUAAAUUCUCAUUUUUGUUUUUCAUAAUAUCUGAUAGAUUUUAGAAAUUGCAAAAAAAAAAAAAAAACAAAAAAAAAACAGAAGGGAAAAAACUGUGUCAUUCAUUUAAUAAUUAAUAAUUAGGCUCAUUACUGACCUGAUGGGUUAAUAUAAGGACCCAGAGCAGAGAACAUCAUCAAUUCACACCUCCUCAGCACCAGAUCUUAAUAAUACUAUGACAUGUUAGUACAGCAAUUGAUAUCCUUAUGGAUAAGCAGACCCCUAAUAAAUAUUUGUUCGUCCAAGCAACUGAACCCUGAUAA